AAGUCGUAACAAGGUUUCCGUAGGUGAACCUGCGGAAGGAUCAUUAACACGUUAUCCACGUAUAUACAUCUCCUGCGAACUCUUUUUUAAGUUGGCUGGCCAGCGUAGCAAUGGAGGUAGAUUUUACUAUGUCAACCACUCGGCGCUUCGGCGCUUUGUGGCUGUUCUACCUGCCUAUCUAAAAUGACGUGGUCCUCAUCUCACUCCUGUGAGGCGGGUCUUAGAUCGACGUUCGUUUUGGGUAUUCUGGCCCAUAUGACUUGAAUCAUAGUAGUGUUUCUCUAUUCACCUUUUUAUAUCAAUAUGUAUGAUUUGUGAUGGUUGGUUGGGAUGUCGGAGUUUUAACGAACACCUUCAUCCCUAUCCCAGCUCACGUUAAAAAAACACUUAUACAACUCUUAGCAACGGAUAUCUCGGUUCU
rnacentral:misc_RNA from 1 species